AUGUCCUUUGAGCUGGGGACAAUCUCAUCAGAGGUGAAAAUGACAAUUAGCAGCAACUUCACUGAAAUAUGGAAAAAACAUUUUACUCUUAUAUCGACGUCAGUAUACUCACUCAUUUUGGUAGUGCUUGAAAAGAUACUGGAAUCUGAGUUUAAAUGCCCAGAAGAUCUGCAUUUGAGACGUUCGUACAGCAUCUUCUAUUUCAUUAUGCCAGCUGCGACUUUUUUUAUAUUAGGCAUAAUUUUCCAGCGAGCGUAUCUACAUCCUUUUCAUAGAGAAAACGAAUUCUACUACUUUUACAACAAAUGCAAAAGUGACAACAAAUGCAAAAGUCACUUUACAGAUAAGUGCACGUUUAGGAGCUGCUGGUGCGUUUUGUUAAAGGCUGUUUUCCCUGCUCUGUUGUGGAUAGUGAUCCUUCUUCUGGAUGGAAGAUAUGCCUACUGCUUCAAUGAGAACAUCAGAAAUUAUCAGAAUUCCCAGAUUUCGGGACUCAUUAUCAUGUUUGCUGUUGUCAGUAUCGGUUUGACAUGCACGUGCUGCUGCAAGAAGGGCUACAGAAAAAAGAUAACAGUGGAUGAAGAUAAAAUCAAGAAUCUACUAGCACAAAAAGCUCAUGAGUAUAUUUUAAAACAGAAGGAAGAGGCUAUCUGGCAACGCCUAAAGGAUGAAUACUUAGCUGACCCAGAAACAAUUUUGGUUUCUAUUGACAAGGAAAAGAUAUCUGAUAUAAUAGAUAGCGUUUGUAGCAAUUCAAGAGAAGGCUCAGCUGACCAAGGAGGACCUCAAGAGACCGCCAGUCUGUUACUUCAAGCGACCUCCAAUCCUUUAUAUCAAGCGAUCUCCAAUCCUUUAUAUCAAGGGACCUCCAGUCCAUAACCUCAAGAGAUAUAAGAAAGCUCAAGUUGUCCAAGGGUGUGAGUUUUUUUUGUAUUUUAAUAUGACCACCACAGAAAGACUGGUAACUGAUUAAUAUACCAGUAAUAACACCAAACCAUGACUACACAGCAACUGCAAUCUACUAAUUGCACAAAAACCAAAGUGGAAAAUAAGGAAGGACAUGGAUUCCCAGCAGUUCUCCUUCUCCAGCCUCCCCCUGCAAUUCUUGGCUUCCUCUCCCACGCUAGGGGGGCUGUAGUGGGUUCCCCUCCCCCAUUCCAGGUUGGGGAGGGUGGCUCCAGGGGCUUCUCACCCUCCUCUGCCAGGCUGGUGUUCCAGGGAGGGCAAGGCGGCAGAGCUGUCCUGUCCUGUUUUUCACAGGAGGGGAGGAGGAAAUGGCAGUGGAGCCGCCUUGAAUUGUUGGUCUCUUUAGGUCCCUCUUCACCCUUCCCCUCCCAUGAGAAUGGUGUCUGGAUGCCGAGGCGGUGGGGAGGGGGAGAAAGCUCCGACUGCAAAGUGCCAGAUCCGUAGCAGCACUACAUCUCUGCUGGAUGAGAUUUCCUGAGGUAUGUGUAAACAUGUGACACAGGGUUCAGAUGUGUAAGUCUUACAACUCAGGUGUCUGAGAUCCCCAGUCCUUCAUUUCACGAGGUCUCCAGUUCUUCACCAUAAGAGAUCUCCAACCCUUCACUAUAAGAGAUCUCCAAUCCUUCACCUCAAGGGUUCUCCAAUUCUCCACUUCAAGAGGUCUCAAUACCUUCAUCUCAAAGGAUCUCCAACCUUUCACCUCAAGAGGUCUCAAAACAUUCAUCUCAAGGAACUACAGAUUUCUGAUUUCUAAUACUCGUGUAAUCUAUAAGGGAAAAGCUACAACACAACCUCAUAACCUGCUUCUCUCAAUUUCAGAACAGCAGAAAUGGAAAACAAAGAGAAAUUUAAAUUAAGGAUGAUUAAAACUCUGUCCAUAUCUAGUUAAACAAUGGCCAUAGGGUGACCACUCAUCAUUAAAAUAUCUUCCGAUGGCCAAGUAAGUUUUUGAAAUUUAGAUAGAAGUUUGAGGUAAUUACAGUGAUUUCUGUUCAGGAAGAAAAUCCGAGAGACUGCCAAUAAUCCGCUCAAGAUGCCUGCAGCUGUUAAAUAGUUUAAAUACAAGGCUUAUCCAGCAAAUGUGGCUCAAUUGUUUUUCACAUGCACUAGAUUUGCUUUAGCAUUUACUUUCAUAUUUUUAUGUAUAAGGCAUUUAAAAAUAAAGGCACUCUGAAACUCA
ensembl:lncRNA